rnacentral:rRNA from 1 species
CCUACGGGAGGCAGCAGUGGGGGAUAUUGCACAAUGGGGGAAACCCUGAUGCAGCGACGCCGCGUGGGUGAAGAAGUAUUUCGGUAUGUAAAGCCCUAUCAGCAGGGAAGAAAGAAGACGGUACCUGACUAAGAAGCCCCGGCUAACUACGUGCCAGCAGCCGCGGUAAUACGUAGGGGGCGAGCGUUAUCCGGAUUCACUGGGUGUAAAGGGAGCGUAGACGGCCGUGCAAGCCAGGAGUGAAAGCCCGGGGCCCAACCCCGGGACUGCUCUUGGAACUGUGCGGCUGGAGUGCGGGAGGGGCAGGCGGAAUUCCUGGGGUAGCGGGGAAAUGCGUAGAUAUCAGGAGGAACACCGGCGGCGAAGGCGGCCUGCUGGACCGCGACUGACGUUGAGGCUCGAAAGCGUGGGGAGCGAACAGGAUUAGAUACCCUUGUAGUC